GGUCCCGUAGCUCAGUCGGAUAGAGCAUCAGAUUCCUAAUCUGAGGGUCGCGCGUUCGAGUCGCGCCGGGAUCA
rnacentral:tRNA from 2 species